rnacentral:piRNA from 1 species
UGGACACAACAAUAUAGCAGUAGCAGCCACA